UACGGAGGGGGCGAGCGUUAUUCGGAAUUAUUGGGCGUAAAGGGCGCGUAGGCGGCCCGGUAAGUCAAAGGUGAAAUCCCUCGGCUCAACUGAGGAACUGCCUUUGAAACUGUCGGGCUUGAGGCCGGGAGGGGGUAGCGGAAUUCCCAGUGUAGCGGUGAAAUGCGUAGAUAUCAGGAGGAACACCAAUAGCGAAGGCAGCUCGCUGGGACGGUAUUGACGCUAAGGCGCGAAAGCGUGGGGAGCAAACAGG
rnacentral:rRNA from 1 species